UCAUAUAUGUAUGCAUUUCAGAUAACUUGUAAUAUUUUUUUUUUUAUUACACUUUUUUAACCUUAGUUCCAUCUACAUGUGCUAUAAAUUAGGGUUGUUAACGAAAGCCAAAAUUGAAUUUUCGAUUAAAAAAAAAGUUUUCGAAACUCUAUUUUCGUUUCGUCCCACAACCUCCUCAACAUGCUCGACAACCUUCUUCUGGUAAAUUUAUGAUUUAGAAAUGUUUCUGAAUAAUUAUUUAAUUAAUAAUAUUUUUAUUUUUCACACACUAAUUAAUACAUUAAAUAAUUUAAAGUGCAGUACAAGUAAAACUCAGUGCAGUGUUUAAAUUUUUACUUUAAUUAACAUUUGUUAUGCUUUUAUUGAUUUAUUAGUCGUUCAUUCUAUUUAUUUUGAUAUAUUGAUUUUUAGGGUGGAUACUCCAACCUGCAUCUUGUAAUGUGGUAAGUUAUGUCGCUCUUUUUACACAAUUUAAAGACAUUUUAAAAAUUUU